CCCUUAGAUGUUCUGGGCCGCACGCGCGCUACACUGAACAGUUCAACAAGUCUUAACCUUGGCCGAUAGGUCUGGGUAAUCUUUGAACGCUGUUCGUGAUUGGGAUAGACCUUUGCAAUUAUGGGUCUUCAACGAGGAAUUCCUAGUAAACGCAAGUCAUCAGCUUGCAUUGAUUACGUCCCUGCCCUUUGUACACACCGCCCGUCGCACCUACCGAUUGAAUGGUCCGGUGAAAUCUCGGGACGGCGGCUUGGUCGCUUGCGUCCGACUGCUGAAACUUGAUUAAACCAUAUCAUUUAGAGGAAGGUGAAGUCGUNACA
rnacentral:rRNA from 1 species